GUUGGCAAUUAGGUGUUUAUAUUUUGUUUUUAUUAAAUUUGUAUACCUGUCCAUUUUGUCUAUAUGGUAGUUAUGCUGUUAAGAAUUAAAGAAACAAAACCUAGAGUUGAUGAUAUUUAACUGAUGAGCAGGACGUAGAUAAUCAUAUUUGCUUUAUCAUUUAAUUACAGGGAAAACAGAUCAUUAAAAUAAACUUAAUUGGAUAAUGAUGCAUUCAGUAUUAGGCUGUCAGUUUACUAAUAUUCAAAGCUAAAAUGUAGAUGUUAUUCCUAACAAACAAACAAAUGAAGAAUCUUGAAAGUUAACUUGCAUCAUGCUUUUUGGAAAUCAAGAUGCAUUAAGACAUGUAAACAGGUAAAAGAUUUGAAAAUGUCUUUAUAUGUCAUUUGCUGAAGUCAUGGUUGAUCUCUUCUUAUCAUUUUUAUUAGUUUUCUUUAUUUCUUUCCCUCUCUGAUGCAGCGAAUGCCAAAAACAUAGUGAACCUUAACUUCAUUAUCUUUGUAGAGAGAGUUUUGAUAGUACAGAGUUGCAGUAAAUGCUCCAAAACAUGAUUUCUUAUAGUUGGGACUAGUAUGUUGUUACUUAUUUACUUCACCAUUGCCUAGCUUAGUUUAUUCUUGCUUCUUUAUGUAUUUUUCCCAUCCUUUGCUUGUUUAUUUUUACUUUACUGAAUAUCUCCCCUUCUCUCUCCCCAUUCUUAGGGUUAUCUUAUAUAAUAAUGUUGAUUCAAUGUAAGUAUGAGCUUCCAUAAUCAGAAAACCUCGUUUGUCAACCUGGUAUUGUAUUGGUCAAUGUUCAUUCCACUUCCCAUAUUUCUUGGUUUUUAGAUCUUUUGUUAUACAUGUUUAUUUUUACUUUACUGAAUAUCUCCCCUUCUCUCUCCCCAUUCUUAGGGUUAUCUUAUAUAAUAAUGUUGAUUCAAUGUAAGUAUGAGCUUCCAUAAUCAGAAAACCUCGUUUGUCAACCUGGUAUUGUAUUGGUCAAUGUUCAUUCCACUUCCCAUAUUUCUUGGUUUUUAGAUCUUUUGUUAUACA
rnacentral:misc_RNA from 1 species